rnacentral:rRNA from 1 species
AGAGUUUGAUCAUGGCUCAGGACGAACGCUGGCGGCACGCUUAACACAUGCAAGUCGAACGAGAGAAGAGGAGCUUGCUUUUCUGAUCUAGUGGCGGACGGGUGAGUAACACGUGAGCAAUCUGCCUUUCAGAGGGGGAUACCGAUUGGAAACGAUCGUUAAUACCGCAUAACAUAAUUGAACCGCAUGAUUUGAUUAUCAAAGAUUUAUCGCUGAAAGAUGAGCUCGCGUCUGAUUAGCUAGUUGGUAAGGUAACGGCUUACCAAGGCGACGAUCAGUAGCCGGACUGAGAGGUUGAUCGGCCACAUUGGGACUGAGACACGGCCCAGACUCCUACGGGAGGCAGCAGUGGGGAAUAUUGCACAAUGGAGGAAACUCUGAUGCAGCGAUGCCGCGUGAGGGAAGAAGGUUUUAGGAUUGUAAACCUCUGUCUUCAGGGACGAAAAAAGACGGUACCUGAGGAGGAAGCUCCGGCUAACUACGUGCCAGCAGCCGCGGUAAUACGUAGGGAGCGAGCGUUGUCCGGAAUUACUGGGUGUAAAGGGAGCGUAGGCGGGAUCGCAAGUCAGAUGUGAAAACUAUGGGCUUAACCCAUAAACUGCAUUUGAAACUGUGGUUCUUGAGUGAAGUAGAGGUAAGCGGAAUUCCUAGUGUAGCGGUGAAAUGCGUAGAUAUUAGGAGGAACAUCAGUGGCGAAGGCGGCUUACUGGGCUUUAACUGACGCUGAGGCUCGAAAGCGUGGGGAGCAAACAGGAUUAGAUACCCUGGUAGUCCACGCCGUAAACGAUGAUUACUAGGUGUGGGGGGACUGACCCCUCCCGUGCCGCAGCAAACGCAAUAAGUAAUCCACCUGGGGAGUACGACCGCAAGGUUGAAACUCAAAGGAAUUGACGGGGGCCCGCACAAGCAGUGGAGUAUGUGGAUUAAUUCGAAGCAACGCGAAGAACCUUACCAGGUCUUGACAUCGUAUGCAUAGCUCGGAGAUGAGUGAAAUCUCUUCGGAGACAUAUAGACAGGUGGUGCAUGGUUGUCGUCAGCUCGUGUCGUGAGAUGUUGGGUUAAGUCCCGCAACGAGCGCAACCCUUACUGUUAGUUGCUACGCAAGAGCACUCUAGCAGGACUGCCGUUGACAAAACGGAGGAAGGUGGGGAUGACGUCAAAUCAUCAUGCCCCUUAUGACCUGGGCCUCACACGUACUACAAUGGCUGUCAACAGAGGGAAGCAAAGCCGCGAGGUGGAGCGAACCCCUAAAAGCAGUCUUAGUUCGGAUUGUAGGCUGCAACCCGCCUACAUGAAGUCGGAAUUGCUAGUAAUCGCAGAUCAGCAUGCUGCGGUGAAUACGUUCCCGGGCCUUGUACACACCGCCCGUCACGCCAUGGGAGUCGGUAACACCCGAAGCCUGUAGUCUAACCGCAAGGAGGACGCAGUCGAAGGUGGGAUUGAUGACUGGGGUGAAGUCGUAACAAGGUA